UUCGGUCUGCUACCUCUUACCCAUGUCUUUUGAGUACCUUCGUUUCCUCGGCGGGUCCGCCCGCCGAUUGGACAACAUUCAAACCCUUUGCAGUUGCAAUCAGCGUCUGAAAAAACAUAAUAGUUACAACUUUCAACAACGGAUCUCUUGGUUCUGGCAUCGAUGAAGAACGCAGCGAAAUGCGAUAAGUAGUGUGAAUUGCAGAAUUCAGUGAAUCAUCGAAUCUUUGAACGCACAUUGCGCCCCUUGGUAUUCCAUGGGGCAUGCCUGUUCGAGCGUCAUUUGUACCUUCAAGCUCUGCUUGGUGUUGGGUGUUUGUCUCGCCUCUGCGUGUAGACUCGCCUUAAAACAAUUGGCAGCCGGCGUAUUGAUUUCGGAGCGCAGUACAUCUCGCGCUUUGCACUCAUAACGACGACGUCCAAAAGUACAUUUUUACACUCUUGACCUCGGAUCAGGUAGGGAUACCCGCUGAACUUAAGCAUAUCAAUAAAGCGGGAGGA
rnacentral:rRNA from 1 species